AGGACGAACGCUGGCGGCGUGCCUAACACAUGCAAGUCGAACGAGGUCCAACCGGUGGCAACACUGGUGAAGACCGAGUGGCGAACGGGUGAGUAACACGUGAGCAACCUGCCUCGAAGACUGGGAUAACCCCGGGAAACCGGAGCUAAUACCGGAUACCCCCACCGGGUCGCAUGGCCUGGUGAGGAAAUGGAUUCCGCUUUGAGAGGGGCUCGCGGCCUAUCAGCUUGAUGGUGGGGUAAUGGCCUACCAUGGCACCGACGGGUAGCUGGUCUGAGAGGACGAUCAGCCACACUGGGACUGAGACACGGCCCAGACUCCUACGGGAGGCAGCAGUGGGGAAUCUUGCGCAAUGGGCGAAAGCCUGACGCAGCAACGCCGCGUGUGGGACGAAGGCCUUCGUGGGUUGUAAACCACUUUCAGCAGGGACGAUUGUGACGGUACCUGCAGAAGAAGCCCCGGCCAACUACGUGCCAGCAGCCGC
rnacentral:rRNA from 1 species